rnacentral:rRNA from 1 species
ACGGAAGGCAGCAGUGGGGAAUUUUGCGCAAUGGGGGGAACCCUGACGCAGCAACGCCGCGUGCGGGAUGAAGGCCUUCGGGUUGUAAACCGCUUUCAGCAGGGACGAUUAUGACGGUACCUGCAGAAGAAGCUCCGGCUAACUACGUGCCAGCAGCCGCGGUAAUACGUAGGGAGCGAGCGUUAUCCGGAUUCAUUGGGCGUAAAGCGCGCGUAGGCGGCUUGCUAAGCGGAACCUCUAAUCCGAGGGCCCAACCCCCGGCCGGGUUCCGAACUGGCAGGCUCGAGUGCGGUAGGGGCAAGUGGAAUUCCAUGUGUAGCGGUGGAAUGCGCAGAUAUAUGGAAGAACACCGAUGGCGAAGGCAGCUUGCUGGGCCGACACUGACGCUGAGGUGCGAAAGCGUGGGGAGCGAACAGGAUUAGAUACCCUGGUA